rnacentral:rRNA from 2 species
UGGGCGUUAAGUUGCAGGGUAUAGACCCGAAACCCGGUGAUCUAGCCAUGGGCAGGUUGAAGGUUGGGUAACACUAACUGGAGGACCGAACCGACUAAUGUUGAAAAAUUAGCGGAUGACCUGUGGCUGGGGGUGAAAGGCCAAUCAAACCGGGAGAUAGCUGGUUCUCCCCGAAAGCUAUUUAGGUAGCGCCUCGUGAAUUCAUCUCCGGGGGUAGAGCACUGUUUCGGCUAGGGGGCCAUCCCGGCUUACCAACCCGAUGCAAACUGCGAAUACCGGAGAAUGUUAUCACGGGAGACACACGGCGGGUGCUAACGUCCGUCGUGAAGAGGGAAACAACCCAGACCGCCAGCUAAGGUCCCAAAGUCAUGGUUAAGUGGGAAACGAUGUGGGAAGGCCCAGACAGCCAGGAUGUUGGCUUAGAAGCAGCCAUCAUUUAAAGAAAGCGUAAUAGCUCACUGGUCGAGUCGGCCUGCGCGGAAGAUGUAACGGGGCUAAACCAUGCACCGAAGCUGCGGCAGCGACGCUGAUGCGUUGUUGGGUAGGGGAGCGUUCUGUAAGCCUG